rnacentral:rRNA from 1 species
GAUGAACGCUGGCGGCGUGCCUAAUACAUGCAAGUCGAGCGAAUGGAUUAAGAGCUUGCUCUUAUGAAGUUAGCGGCGGACGGGUGAGUAACACGUGGGUAACCUGCCCAUAAGACUGGGAUAACUCCGGGAAACCGGGGCUAAUACCGGAUAACAUUUUGAACCGCAUGGUUCGAAAUUGAAAGGCGGCUUCGGCUGUCACUUAUGGAUGGACCCGCGUCGCAUUAGCUAGUUGGUGAGGUAACGGCUCACCAAGGCAACGAUGCGUAGCCGACCUGCGAGGGUGAUCGGCCACACUGGGACUGAGACACGGCCCAGACGCCUACGGGAGGCAGCAGUAGGGAAUCUUCCGCAAUGGACAAAAGUCUGACGGAGCAACGCCGCGUGAGUGAUGAAGGCUUUCGGGUCGUAAAACUCUGUUGUUAGGGAAGAACAAGUGCUAGUUGAAUAAGCUGGCACCUUGACGGUACCUAACCAGAAAGCCACGGCUAACUACGUGCCAGCAGCCGCCGUAA